rnacentral:rRNA from 1 species
UACAGAGGGUGCAAGCGUUAAUCGGAAUUACUGGGCGUAAAGCGUGCGUAGACGGUUAUGUAAGUCGGAUGUGAAAGCCCCGGGCUCAACCUGGGAAUUGCAUUCGAGACUGCAUAGCUAGGAUGCGGAAGAGGGAAGCGGAAUUUCCGGUGUAGCGGUGAAAUGCGUAGAUAUCGGAAGGAACAUCAGUGGCGAAAGCGGCUUCCUGGUCCAGCAUCGACGUUCAGGCACGAAAGCGUGGGGAGCAAACAGG